rnacentral:rRNA from 1 species
GUCAGGAGUUAGGAAAUGCAAGGUGGUUAAUAGUCACUUUGCUUGACUAAGGCUCCAGAGGAAGCCACGGCUAACUCUGUGCCAGCAGCCGCGGUAAUACAGAGGCGGCAAGCGUUGUUCGGAAUUAUUGGGCGUAAAGAGCACGUAGGCGGCUCCGUAAGUCAGUUGUGAAAGCCUUCCGCUUAACGGAAGAACGGCUUCUGGUACUGCGGGGCUAGAGUACGGAAGGGGAGAGUGGAACUUCUGGU